rnacentral:sRNA from 1 species
CAAAGUAGUUAAGAUACUUAAACAUGGUGUUCAACUUCUUAUUCCUCCAGCUUAUUGAUUCUUGCUAUUGGAAAGUUACCAUAAGAUUUAAAUCUCUUAUUCUGGUUCAGUAGGAUGAAUAAAUUUAGUAACAAAAUCUUAUAAGUAAAAUAACUACAUCUAUCCUUAUUUUUUCUUUGUUUCAGGUUUCCCCUCAAAAAACCUAUAAGGCAUGGAAGUAUUUUGAACCGAGAGUCACCAACAGAUAAGAAGCAGAAAGUUGAGCGCAUUGCAUCACAUGAUUUUGACCCCACAGGUAAAACACUAUUCAUUCUUUCAAAGAGUAUUGAGAGUAGUGAAGUUCAGAAUAAUAGAGCUUAAGCUACCCGAAACACUCAGGAAUAGUUGUUUGAUCUGUUUUAGGACUCUCACAUUCCUCCAAUUAUAUCAUAAUAAAGCCUUUGCAUUUAGCAGGAAUGCAAGCAUUUUUAACUUCCAACACUGUAGAUUCCACUACAGAAGUAUCAUUGUAGAGUAUAUUAUAUCUUUAAAUAGUGAUAAUAAUAGAAAUGGUUAUAUAAUAAUUGGAGAUUUGGUCAGAUCAAGGACUCAGUAUUAAGUUGAAUCAUGGUAUAAGCAGUAAUAUGUCAUAAAACCAAGGCUCUAACAACUCUACACUUCUGUAGUCAUCUAAAAAUUCAAUUGUGAUUAUGGUGAAUUGGAGUUUUAGAUAAAUCAGUUUCACAAAUUAAUAGAUUGUCUCAUUUUAGAGUAAACAAAUGAAUAGAAAUCCCUUUCUCUUCAGUCAAAAAGUAUUCUGAACUUAAAGAGCUGUCUUUCAACCUAAGCAGUGUUGAUCUUUCCUAGGGUUGUCACGUUAACAGACUUUCAGAUUGAUCUCCUUUUAAAACAUCUAGGCUUUUUCCUUUUGCUUUCUCCUUGUAAACUUACUCCAUGUUUGAUUCCUAGAAAGUGCUUGGUAAUCUUGCUUUUUUCAUUUGAAACUGAUGUAUAUUUUUUGUGCACAUACUAUUUUAUUCAGUUGCAUGUCCCUUUGACAAGAGACAAAGUAAAUCCCGCAAUCUCAGAUACAUAAAAAUAAUGUAUCUACUUUUAGGUAUUUUUACUCAGAAAUAUAAUUUUAAAUAUUUAAUAGAGAAUAGUAUGUUUUAUUUAUCUAAGACAUUUCAUACUUUAUUAGUAUAAACUCCUUUAUUUUGAAGAAAUAUUAUAAAUAUUAUCUAGGAGGCACAUAGAUAAUCAUUUUCUGCAUUUUGGGUAGUAGGUAAAAUGAAAUUCCAAUCAUCAAUUUAGGAGGCUUUGGUGGUGGGACUGUGUAUUGUGUCACUUACGGAUCUCCAUGAAGAGAGAAUUUUCCAUUCGGAUGCCUAAUUUUGUAGUCUUGGGGCUCAGAGGCUUUCAUUUACAUGAUUAGGUAUUGUCUUGCCAAUAAGGUCAAAAAUUUCUGCCGUAUGUUCACAAAAAUAUAAUCUUGUUAGGUUUAUUUUGUAUCUACGUCUGUGCUGUGCCCAUCUCCAAAGACAGAUUUAAGCAAAGAUGUAUACAGUGCUUCAUAAUGAGAUCAUUAUAGCUUUUAGUGCUUUUGUCAUCUCUACAAUUAUCAGGUGAUAUAUUUUGUAUACUAUUCAUGUGUUGUUUUGUUUGAACAUAUUUUUAUUGCACUGUCUUUUCUUCGAUAAAUCUUUAAAAUAUGUCAUUACCUGUGCUGUUUGUGACUGUUCUAAGUGCUGUCAUCUGUUAUGUUCAUACUUUGUGUUUGCACGAUUUAACUUGAUCAUGAUUCAUUCUUUUUUCCCCAUGAAUUUUUCCCCUUACAUUGGUCUCCAUAUUUUCUAUAUCUCUCUCCUUUUCUCCCGCUCUUGUGCAGAUAGCUCCUCCAAGAAGACAAAGUCUAGUUCAGAGGAGAGUAGAUCCGAGAUAUAUGGUAAGCUAAUGUAGCUAAUUCAGCCUUGCCCUUUGGAGCUUGCUUCAUGGUGUUCCUUUUCUGUUCUUUUUUUUUCCUUUCUUUCUUUCUUUCUUUUUAAAUAACUGCAGCCUUUCUUGUGUCUGCUGUGCAUGGCAUGAUCUACUGCAGGGAAAGGGAGCCUGGGGUUUUAACGUGGCUGUGAUGUGGAAGCUUAAGGUUGCUAGAAACUAACAUUGUAGAUUAAGAGUAGGCCACAUUGCCCAUCUUCUCCCGUCUUGUUUAUGGUAGGAAGGUGAUUAUCUCUAAUAUGUUUGGGUCAGGUUCCUCCAAAUAACAUGAAUGGGCUUUGAAUUCUUGUCAUCUUCUUCCCACAUCUCAUUUGCAGAAUUUGGAUUAUGAAGAAUUUGAGGAAUUAAGUCUUUUCCUCUAAGUAUAAUACUGGUGUAAUUUAGACGUAUUAGCAGUUCUUUGGAAUUUUUAUUUCAUUUUUUGUUUGUUUAUUUUUAAUUGCCUCGUCAUGUGGAAAAGUCAUUCUUGUAUAAUUUAUCCACGAUGGCAAAAAUACGUAAGUAUUUUAUUUUCAUAGCUUGAAGAAUUUGUGCCUUUGAGAAGUUUCUCUGAAGCUUAAUCGGAAUGGGAAAAUUUCAAAAUGGUACCUUUUAAGUAAUCUUAACAAAGAGCAAGUUUAACCUGAGUGGUCAACUUUUGCAGCAGAUGAUUGAAAUGCUAAUAUUUCUAGACUGUGUCCUGUCUUCCAAAGAUACAAUAAACGAUGUUUGUGAGGUUCAUACCUAUUUUUCCUUUUCCUUUGCAGUUUUACCUGCCCUCUUUCCUUCUUUUGGAGUCUGAUUAGGGUUUUGUUUUGGGGUUUUCUUUGGUUUUUUUGUUUUUUGAGAAAAGUGAAUAUGAGAGGAAUUACCUGGAGCUAAUAUUUUUUAAAUAAUUUCUGAAAGACUGAUAAAUUAUUUAUUUUUUUAAGGAAGAUUCCAAAUUUGGCCUCAAAGGGAAAUCAGGUCAUCUUUAAUAGAGCCACAAGUCUAUAGAGUAGAAGCUUCCCCAGGUGCAGAUGUUUCCUAGCUUGAUAUAUAGGAGAGGAAAAAAUACAGGAAUUGUCCUCCCCUUUUUAAGACAUUUGAUAAUUCACAUCUGCUGACACUUGAGCCCAUGUCAGAUAUUUUUAGUAUUAUGAAAGCUCAGUGUUUGGUUCUAAACCAGUUAAUUCUUCUAUGUUAGAUGUAUACACAUAGUUCUUUACUUGGGUUUUUGUGACCAGUGCUUUUUCUGGGUAUACCUUUUACAUUAGUUCAGCAAUAAAUGUAUACUAUGCCUUGUGGCACAUCAAGUUUACGCUUUUUCUUCCUUCCAGAGUAUUUUGGCUACUGAUAAGUAAGAACUACCUAAUUCCUCGAGACUCUAUAUUUCUGUUCUAUAUAAAGAGCUUUCUAUAGUUUAUCCUCUCCUUAGGAACAUGAACAUUAUCUUUAUAGCUCUAUUCUUUUUCAGUAGCCUUUGCAGUGUUCUAUUUCUCUUCUUCCUCUCCAUUUUCCUAGAUCUGCGAUGUGUAUUUAGAAGCUUGUUGUGUGCUUUGGAUGAAGACUAACAAUUUAGGAACCUCUGACUAGAAAUAUUAUACUAAUAUUUUUCUUAGCAGUGAUAGAAAUAUUAAUACUAGUUCAGACAUGCCAUUGGCUUGGUAGUGAUAGAAACAUUUUAAGUGGUAAUUGGAAAGUAAGGUGUGGCUUCUCUGUGUGUUUGUUUUUUGAGAACCCUUGAAAUACCUUUUUUGGAAGGAACUGAGUCCACAAGUCCUCAAAAAGCACUCAUCGGAGGGAUGAGUUAAUUAGAACAGAAUUAGCAUGCGAACAUAAAUCUCUUUGACAUUACAAAUAUUUUAUCACCUGUGUGAAUAGACUUCUUUAGAUUACGUACAGUUAGCAUAGAUGAAAAAGUCUCUCUGGGGAUUCAGAAAAGCUUGAAACUACUGAGUAGAAUCAUAGCAACUGGUGACAUUCUGCUUUAGUGUAGGGUCUUAUAAGCCUACUUCAAACUUUAGAGAUUAUACAUUGUUUUCUCGGGGUAAAAUUCAUUAGCUGAGUACUUAACAAAAAUGCUAGUUACUCACAUAUUAUUUAUUUUAAACUUUCUUGGCUUUUUUUUUUUUUUUUUUUUUUUUUGAGACAAGAUCUCGCUGUGUGGCCCAGGAUGGAGUAUAAUGGCACGAUCAUGACUCACUGCUGCCUCAACCUCCUGGGCUCAAGUGAUCCUCCUACCUAAGCCUCCAAAGUAGCUGGGACUACAGGUGCACACCACUGCACCCAGCUGUUUUGUUUGUUUGUUUGUUUGUUUAAUAGAGAUGAGGUUGUUGAAGGAAUGAUUUGCCAGGGGGGGAAAAAAAAGAAAGAA